rnacentral:lncRNA from 1 species
GCGAUAAACAUGCCGCCCCUCGCCGGCGACCGCCAUUUUGCCAUGGCGUGUGUGACGUCAUGUGCUUCACGGAGUGGAGCUGUCGUCUUUUACCUAAGUUUCAGCCCCUGCAAAUCGU